rnacentral:lncRNA from 1 species
CGAGGGCCCGUAGGUCGAGACGUCCGUCAGCCGGUCCCAGGGUGACCGCAUACGAUACCCCAGAGGGUUUGGACUCGCCUCUACGAGAGCGUCCGCCAAAGCGAAGCCGCUUGGCGGGUCGAGGCUGAAUCCAAGGGGCGUGAGAUGGGAAUCGGUCGGUACCUCUUGGUCGACGGGCGGUGGCGGAGUCACGUCAAGGACUGACUGCACCGUAGUCUCAGGUACGAGGGUGACGCCCAGCAAGCCUUUCGCGAGCGUGCUGGCGUCGUCCGUUUGCUCGGAAUUGGCGUGUCGUGGGGAGACGGCGCUCGUCUUCGUCUCAAACGCGAGGUCGAUGCCCGACGCGCCCCCUGUUGGGGUGCCGGCGCCGUCGACUUGCUCGACAGCCGACGGGGGGCCGCCUCCUGCUUGGCCUUGGUUGCCCCGCCUCCUCCUCCGUCGGCGGGGGAGAGGGCGGGGUGAGCUUGAAUGUUGUUCUUCCACCACGCGGGGAAGACGUCGUCGAUUCCGCCGCCGGCGGGCGGGCUGUCGGCCGCCAUUGUCGCUGUCGCACGGUGGAGGAAGGAGUAUCAUGUCGUAGCUGUCGUCGAGGGACAUGAACUCAAGACUCCCGAAACGGAGCACCGUCCCAGGCUGGAAAGGUUGCUGUAGACUGCCCAUCUGGAGCUUGACGGGAAGCUGUUCGUCAACACGCAGCAGGCCCCUACCUGGCGCGCCAACUGUCGGCGUUUCGAGACCAGGGGGUCCCUGGGCCGAUGAGUGAAAUGUCGCCGCGUGCCCCAGCCCAGAUGGGUCGGCGCGAGGCCGAGCACGAAGGGGGGAAGGAAAGGCAGCCGGAGACGGGCGUGAGAGAGGUGGAAAUCCCGCGGCCUUUGUGUUCGUUCCGCGCCCAGGUCGGGUGCGCUUGCAGUAGGGGGUUACAAGCGUCCACGCGGGAGGGGGAGCGAGCGGCCUCACGCGAGCGCCUGUCCCAUCCUCUUCCCCGCGCAGCCAACCCUCUGUAAGAGGGCCCUGGUCCUUCCUUUUAUAGGCGUAAGGAGAGGAUCCAGGUGUACAAUGGGGUGUAGCAGAGUGCUACGUGUCUAGCGGAGGAGAGCUAGCGCCCUAAGUACAUGCCGUCGUGGCAGCCGGAGAGGUUUUGGCACCCGGUUCGUGUGGUGUUGUGGCCGUCGGAGGAGCGCUGGAGCCUAGCGGAAGGACAGCUGUCGGGCUGUCGAGUCCUUGCUGACGUCCUCUUGCUUCCGUAAGGGGGCUGAGAGCCGCUGUCGUCACAGAGCGUGCGGGGCGCCAUCAUUGCCUAUCUGGCGGAGCGAGCCAGAUGGGACGCCGAUCUUGUUCCCCGUAGCCUGAGUCAGCUUGGGGUAGGGUAAUGAUGGCGCCUCCUGUCGACGUGGUCGGUCCGCGCCCUAGGUUGGGCGAUGUGGAGGCUCCUCCGAGGUCGAGGUCGAGUCUGUCUUCCGUGGUCGUGGUCGAGUCCGAGCCCCUGGGUCGGGCGAGGCGGAGACCGUCGGCUGAGGCCAGGGCUGAGUCCGAGCCUUGGGGUCGGGCGAAGCGGAGUUCGUCGUCAUCUGGGGCUGAGCCCAAGUCCGAGCCCUGGGUCGGGCGGAGCGGAGUUUGUCGUCUUCUGGGGCUGAGCCCAAGUCCGAGCCCUGGGUCGGGCGGAGUGGAGUUCGCCGUCUUCUGGGGCUGAGCCCAAGUCCGAGCCCUGGGUCGGGCGGAGCGGAGUUCGCCGUCUUUCGGGGCUGAGCCCAAGUCCGAGCCCUGGGUCGGGCGGAGCGGAGUUCGCCGUCUUCCGGGGCUGAGCCCAAGUCCGAGCCCUGGGUCGGGCGGAGCGGAGUUCGCCGUCUUCCGGGGCUGAGCCCGAGUCCGAGCCCUGGGUCGGGCGGAGCGGAGUUUGUCGUCUUCCGGGGCUGAGCCCGAGUCCGAGCCCUGGGUCGGGCGAAGCAGAGCUUCCUAUGGUGCCCGAGGUCGGGCCUGACUGCCUGUCAGCCUCACUCUGUCGAGUGGCACAGCAGUCGGAGCGGCGCAGGCGGCGCUGUCCUUCUGUCAGGCCGGUCAGUGGAGCGGCGAAGUGACUGCGGUCACUUCGGCUCUGUCGACUGGAGGACGCGUGUCAGGAUAAAGGUGUCAGGCCACCUUUGCAUUAAAUGCUCCUGCGAUCUGGUCGGUUGGCGCGGCGAUUUGGUCAGGGUUGUUUCUUGGCGAAGACAGGGCCUCGGGCGAGCCGUAAGUAUGUUCGUCGCUGGAGGGGGGCCUCGGGCGAGACGGAAAUCCUCCGGGGUCGGCUGCCCUUGUCCGAGGCUAGGCUCGGGCGAGGCGUGAUCGAGUCCCUCGAAUGGACCGAUCCCUGACUAAAUCGCACCCAUCAGGCCUUUGCAGCUUUAUGCUGAUGGGGUUACCAGCUGAGAAUUAGGAGACUUGAGGGUACCCCUAAUUAUGGUCCCCGACAGGUCAUUAAUAUACUCCUACUAAUAUCAUUAUUAUUAUUAUGAAAUGCACCCACAAUAAACUCCAACUUGAUGAAUAGAUAUCUAUUUAUUCUAAUUAUUUUAUUUGUUUGAUAGAUGUUUGAAAUAUGAAACACACUCCUAUUGUUUUCUUUCUUUUUAGAAAAAUAGUAUUUUGAAUGUGGGGUAAAAAGUAAAAGUUACUUAAAAAUUAAAUAUUCAUAUAAAUAAAUGCUUAUGGUGUAUUAUUUAAUGAUAUGCAUAAUCAUUUGGUUGAAUAGAAAACUUUUCUAUUACUUCUUUUCUAAAAUAAUUCUUGGUUUUUAAAAUUCAGUCCUCAAUUUUCAAUACUCAAGUAUAAUUUGAGAUAUCUGAAUUUACUAUUUUAUCUCUUCAUAUAUUUAUUUUAUUAUUAUUAUUAUUAUUUUCUUAUACAGAUUUUGGGCCUUACAAAAGCACUACCCAGAUGACAUUCAAAUUGCAUGGUUGUCGAGAUAGUAGAGGUCGUUCAUCACUCUACUUGGCUUGGUGGUGCUUGGGCCUUUGUCGCUCUGGGCGUCUACUUGCUCCCAAUGCUCGGUGCUAUGGCUCCAAGCUCGUUGGCGAAGAAUCGAAGAGUUGUCUCGGGUGGGGUGUGUUAAGGCUUAGCAGCGAUGACGCAAUGUGGUCUUCCUCGUGUGUCGGUGCUUGGGUUUAGGUGUUGUCGAGUUCCUUGGCUGUAUGCAGCUCGUUUUAGGAAAUCGGAGCUGUUCGUCCCUUAUGUUAAGCUCGACCGUGAUGACUCUAGAUAUGCUUUGUGUGUGGGGCUACCGUCGUUGUUUGAGGGGGCCUGCCGAUUUCUCUGUCGUGCACUCUGUAUUGAUGCAGCUUAUUCCAUUGGAGGAUAGCUUUGUUUUAUUCGGUUUCAGCUGUGUGGCUGCAACUAACCAUUCUGUCCUUUUGCGUUCUCUACCUACAUUCUAUCUAGCAAGGCAGACCGUGUUUCUUCAGUCGUGAUAUGAUGUUGUGUUGCGCCGUUUUCUCAUUGCCAGGUCACCUGUUUUCGAAGGCUCCGUCGUGAUAUGAUGUUGUGUUGGGGCGGAAGAAACAUUUCUACAAAUAAUUAGAGUUGGCAGACCAUUAGUCAAACAAAGUUCAAGCUUGUUGGUUGGAUUGAUUGGAGUUGUGUAUCUUCUGACACAACUAUUUCAGUGGAAUGUACACAUCCAAUUGUCAGCAGAUCAGCUAAACUGCUUCUACACGAUGAAGUGAUGAAAGCCGUAAAUGAGCGAAAUAACAAAACUCAAAGAACAAAAAUGCUUAUCCUCUUCGGGAGGUUGUUGUUUGCUUAUUUUAGUCCUUCUUCUUUAUAAAUAUUAAUCGUCAUGCUCGGUUCCUUUAAAAAAAAGGACAUAAAUGCUUGUUUGGAUAAAAGUUUGCUAAAAUGCAUGAGCUACGACUAAAAUUUUCUUAUCCAAGCGGUAAGGUCGAGAUGUCCACAAUCAGAUCAGAUACGAUAUGAUGCCCUAAUUACUCUUUUUUUUUAAAAAAAAAACUUCAACACUCCUAAACUUUCUACUCAUUAAUAUUCAGAAUUGUUUGAACUAGUCAGAGUGAACACACGCCUUUUCUUUUCUGUCAAUUCUGCAAAAAAAGCGAAGGCCUAAAACUAAGGCAUGUGCAUUUCAAGAAGAAAAUACACAGAGUAGCUAAGAAGAGUGGUCGAAGGUGCUCGCGAGGCCUGUGCAUUUCACACUUCACACUGACAAGUAUGUGCUGAAAAUUGCCAUCCCUGAAUCAUUUUGCAAGAAAGGAUGAUUGAGAAAUCUCGGUUUCAAUAUUCGACUGAGAUUCAGCAUUUGCCUAUGGCCUGUAUUGUAUUGUACCUAUGGAAAGUAGUGCCAUAUAUACUGAAAGUUGGAUUGUGUGUGUGUGGUUUUGUUUUUCUCUGUGGUUCCUCUACGUGUGGCCUAGGUCGUUAGCUUUUGUGUACGAGUGCCACUAUAGCUCUCAACUUUCAGAUUUUUUGUAUACGAAAGGUGCCCUUUUGGCUCCUGUUCCAAUAGUGGCUGAUGUGGCUGGCAGCUCCGCUUGGCUCACUACCACGUCUACGCAAGCCCAUGAAAUCCACUGACGUGCAUAGAAACAAAGGUCGUCAGGGGAAGCAAGUAAAAGUGGUGCUGGUUUUACUUCUCUGCCAAUGCGCAAUGUAAACGCAGCAAUCUGAUUCGUGAGGAAUGCAAGAACUUUCGCAAUGUAAACGCAGCAAUCUGAUAGGUGCCCGAAACCUAUCGAGCCUCUUUGCAGAUAGUUAGUUGUUUCUUGUCUUUCCUCCCUGGCUAGGCCGAUGAAUGCUCUGCAGUUGCUGCGAGCGCGGCUCCUGCUUGGUCCUGCUAGCUAGUAUAGAUUUAUGCUUUUCAUGCGCCUCUCUUUUUAAUAUAACGGGCAGCUCUUCUAUUGGUUCGUUAGUUAAAAAAACGCAGCAAUCUGAUUAUCUUUUUCCACAUACUACUAGAAGGGUUAGCAAUUCUGUGUUAAUUAUUCGAUUCCCAUUUCACUCUACAUUUUGGCUGAAUGUCUUAAUACUCACUAUAUACUAUUAUCGAUGGCAAUGUGGAGCCAUGUUUUCUGUGGCUUCGUAAAUACCUUAAAUGUGAUAACUCCAUCUAUAUUGUUUUGGUUUCGGCAAUUUAAUGGGCAAUCUGGAAAGCCAGAAAUAGAGUGUGCUUUGACAAUGUAUGCUUGUGAAAUCGCCUAACGAGAUUAUUUCACAUGCGGGGCUUUUAAUUUUCUCUUGGGCAGGCUUAGGCAAGAAAGAACUCCAAGAUCUCCUUCAAGAGGGCGCCAAGCUGCUUGUUCGGGCUACAAAUACAAGAGGAGGAAAUUAGAUCUCUGGCCUCAGCGGAUGAGAUGGACGUGACGCUAUACUUCACCUGGUGCUGCAGGAUCCAUGUGGUUUUGAGCAGGAUGAUUGUUUUGCUUCCUUUUUUCUUCUGAGGUUGGGUGUGGCUAUGGUGUAUGUCACCCCUUUAGCCCUUUUCACAACACUCUAGGUCAUCUCUCUUCUCCUACCUUUUGGCUAUCUGUGCCGUGCCUGUAAUAGGAGUCCUCUGUCAAGUCAUCUAAACCAGAUAACUACUGUGAUAGGGAAACUCUGUUGCGAGUUACCUUAGUUACUCUGCAUUUACUUGACCUUCUGUAUUGUAUCUGGACCUGCUAUAUUUCUAUUACGGUAAUAAUAGAAAAUAUAUGGUAAUAAUAGAAAUGGGGUUUUACUCGCUCGAAAAAAAAGAGAAGUAGCAGUGUGCCUUUGUCGUACAUGUAAGAAAACGGCCGUCGACUUGCCUUGCAGUCUCCAUCAGUAAAGCUGUGUAUCGACAGUGGGAGUAGGCCGGUACAAUCACUUGCCAAUCAUUCAAACUUUACAUCAUCUGAUCUACUCGUGCGCUCUGUACCACAUAUUUUCUCUCUGGUUUUUCAUUCGUUUCUCUGGUUUCAUUUUGCUAGUGUUCUAGCACUACUUUAUGUGUGAUGUAAACAUAAAACUGCAUCUGUUGGCUUAUUUCGUUUUCCAUUCCACAAGAUAGGUAUAUACAUAUAUAUGCAGUUUAAUAAUAGCAUCACGCUUGUUGGUACAUCUCGAAUUCGUUCACUUAAGAUCUCAAAAAAGACAUAGGAAAGGAAAGAAGGAAUUGAAGUGAAGAGGACACACAUCCAUUAAUUAGCAUAUAUAUGAUGAGACAGAUAUAUAAAUAAAAAGCACCAGUUAUAUAUUAACUUAACACGGUGUCGUAUAGUAUUGUCGGCGCCUCGGCGGAUUUAUAUAUAUAGUUUGUAUCCAUAUUACAUGUAUAUGAUAGCCGGAGCUUGCAUUCACAUGUUCCUCACCCCAAGUAUAUAUAGGCGUUGCAGUAGUUUUGUAGCAGGUAUAGAGGUAGCCAAUGCAAGGCCAUGAUUGCAACAAUGGAUACAUCACAUCCAGCAGAGAACUGCUGGAAAGCAAAGGAACCAUGGCCGGGGAAAAGAAGAAAAAAAAAGGAAAAAAGGAAAGAAGAAACCAAGCAAGCAAAGGGUACACGGUGACCCGAAGCAAAACCGAACGACAGAGACGACGCAUGGCACUAGCUACUAGCUCACGCAGGAGCUAGCUAGCUAGCUAGCCGGCGGGGGGCGGCCGGCGGGCGCGGUCUAGUCGCUGCCCGGGGGCUUGUAGGCGAUGAAGCUGACGCACUGCGUCUGCUUGAUGUUGUCGAAGCCGAUGACGCGGUGGAAGGCGUCCGGGUAGGAUUUGAUGGCCUCCUGCAGCUCCUUGUACACCUGGGUGGCGUCGUUGCAGCCGAACAUGGGCAGCUUCCACAUGGUCCAGUAGCGGCCGUCGUAGUAGCACGGGGAGGUGGAGUUCUCGCGGUACACGAAGCCGACCUUGCUGAACUCGAGGCAGGGUAUCCAGCCGUUGCGCAGCAGGUAGUCCACCUGCUUCAGCAGGUCGUCCGUCGACAGCGGCGGCAGGUACGACAGCGUCUCGAACUUCUUGUUGCCGUAGGCCGGCCACACCUGCACGUAGUACGUGUGUUUUGGUUCGUUUGGGGUUGGGAAAUGGGAUGGGAUGGGCAACACACAUCAGUCCAUGCAUGGAUCAUCAGUUCCCUUCCUAUUACUAACUCGCUAGCUGCAGCUGCUGCAAUGCAAAGAACUACUAGCUAGGAUGCAUUUGUUACCUGCAUGCACCGGAUCCUUCCGCCGUUGCUGACGUUGCCGAGGCUUCUGGAGGAGCGGCGGG